rnacentral:rRNA from 1 species
UACGUAGGGACCAAGCGUUGUUCGGAUUUACUGGGCGUAAAGGGCGCGUAGGCGGCGUGGUAAGUCACUUGUGAAAUCUCUGAGCUUAACUCAGAACGGUCAAGUGAUACUGCAGUGCUAGAGUGCGGAAGGGGCAAUCGGAAUUCUUGGUGUAGCGGUGAAAUGCGUAGAUAUCAAGAGGAACACCUGAGGUGAAGACGGGUUGCUGGGCCGACACUGACGCUGAUGCGCGAAAGCCAGGGGAGCAAACGGG